rnacentral:rRNA from 1 species
UUAGUUACGGCGAGUGAAGCGGCAAAAGCUCAAAUUUGAAAUCUGGUACCUUCGGUGCCCGAGUUGUAAUUUGGAGAGGGCAACUUUGGGGCCGUUCCUUGUCUAUGUUCCUUGGAACAGGACGUCAUAGAGGGUGAGAAUCCCGUGUGGCGAGGAGUGCGGUUCUUUGUAAAGUGCCUUCGAAGAGUCGAGUUGUUUGGGAAUGCAGCUCUAAGUGGGUGGUAAAUUCCAUCUAAAGCUAAAUAUUGGCGAGAGACCGAUAGCGAACAAGUACAGUGAUGGAAAGAUGAAAAGAACUUUGAAAAGAGAGUGAAAAAGUACGUGAAAUUGUUGAAAGGGAAGGGCAUUUGAUCAGACAUGGUGUUUUGUGCCCUCUGCUCCUUGUGGGUAGGGGAAUCUCGCAUUUCACUGGGCCAGCAUCAGUUUUGGUGGCAGGAUAAAUCCAUAGGAAUGUAGCUUGCCUCGGUAAGUAUUAUAGCCUGUGGGAAUACUGCCAGCUGGGACUGAGGACUGCGACGUAAGUCAAGGAUGCUGGCAUAA